AUGUCAGACUAACUACUUGUUCUGCUCAUUAAAUAGUAUGUAGUUACUUUUGAAUUUGUUUUUUUAUCAUUGAAUUUUCUUUCAUAGCUGAAGACUCCUGAAUCUGUUUUGGAAAUGAAUGAAACCUCUCCUAAAAAAAGGCAGCAGAAAUCAGAUCUAUUGGAGGAAUUUGGUGUAGGAGAUACAGAGGAUAUUGAAGGUGAAUAUUCAGGAUCUACCUUUCAUAUGUCGUCAUCAGCUGAAAAAGAAGACAUCAAGGAUGGCAUUGAAAACUGUGGGGUGCAGGUUGAGAAUGAAAGAGGCAAGCAAAGGUGUUCCAAAAUGCAGGUGGUGGCAAAACAGGAAGAUCUUGAUAAAUUACACACACCGGCAGGCAACGUUACUGAUCAGCAAAUGAAACAAAGGUUUACCCUAAAGAAUGACUGUUUGAAAGUAGAGAAUGAAAACACUAUAGAAGAAAAAGACAAGAAUAAUUUUUUAUCUGAGGAGAGAUCAACAUUGAUUAAGUUGCCGAUGAAAGGGUAAACUUAAGGAAAUUAUUUCUUAUUUGUAGUACUACUUAAGUAU
rnacentral:lncRNA from 1 species